AUGGCGAUGGCGGAGGUGUGGAACACGAUGGAUUCGAGUUCCUAUCAGAUCCCCUUGAUAGAUUUCCCCUGUGGGAUCUUACCGGCGGCGACUCCAUACUCCGAAACGAACCCACUGGAACUCUCCUCUGCACACCCUCCGAGUCUAGCAUCGGCGACGCGGGUGAGGCAGCGCUUGGAAGCAGAUUUCAACAGCGCUUGCAGGGGCGCGACACUGUCAGCUCCAACCUCAGAGCAGUCAACUAGCAAAGAUGAUCCUCAGACGCCCGGCUGGACCAAAAGGGUUCGCGUUGGGCAUGCACCAACUGAACGUCCACCAUGUGCUGGCAGGAUAAGUGCCCUGGAGAAAGCAUUGAGAGGUUAUGCAAAUGAGAAGACUGCCACAGUCAUUGUCCCUGGUCCCUGCUGUUGGAAACAAAUUCAAUUCACUCGGGGAGGCAUGUGA
rnacentral:rRNA from 1 species